rnacentral:rRNA from 1 species
GACGAACGCUGGCGGCGCGCUUAACACAUGCAAGUCGAACGGAAAGGCCUGCUUUCCCUUGUGGAUUGCGGGUACUCGAGUGGCGAACGGGUGAGUAACACGUGAGUGAUCUGCCCCCAACUUGGGUAUAAGCCUGGGAAACUGGGUCUAAUUCCCGAUAGGACUGCAGGGUGGUGCCUGUGGUGGAAAACGAUUUUCUAGUGGUUGGGGAUGAGCUCGCGGCCUAUCAGCUUGUUGGUGGGGUAAUGGCCUACCAAGGCGGCGACGGGUAGCCGGCCUGGGAGGGUGGACGGCCACAUUGGGACGGAGAAACGGCCCAGACUCCUACGGGAGGCAGCAGUGGGGAAUAAUGCACAAUGGGCGGAAGCCUGAUGCAGCGACGCCGCGUGGGGGAUGACGGCCUUCGGGUUGUAAACUCCUUUCGACCGCGAGGAAGCCACCUGGUUGGAAGGGUGGUGACGGUAGUGGUAGAAGAAGCACCGGCUAACUACGUG